GAUGAAGAACGCAGCAAAAUGCGAUAAGUAAUGUGAAUUGCAGAAUUCAGUGAAUCAUCGAAUCUUUGAACGCACAUUGCGCCCGCUGGUAUUCCGGCGGGCAUGCCUGUUCGAGCGUCAUUUCAACCCUCAAGCCCCCGGGUUUGAUGUUGGGGAUCGGCUCUGCCCUUCUGGGCGGUGCCGCCCCCGAAAUACAUUGGCGGUCUCGCUGCAGCCUCCAUUGCGUAGUAGCUAACACCUCGCAACUGGAACGCGGCGCGGCCAUGCCGUAAAACCCCAACUUCUGAAUGUUGACCUCGGAUCAGGUAGGAAUACCCGCUGAACUUAAGCAUAUCAAUAAGCGGAGGA
rnacentral:misc_RNA from 1 species